CGGAGAACUUGCCACAAAAACUUUCCCUCUUCGAAAUUAGGUCCCAGGUAUUGAUUGUCAUUAGAAUAGUUAGAUAAUUCGGAAAACACAGUUUUUGGCCUUAUACUUUGUAGUAGACUAGCAUACUUUAGCUUUUUCCCAUUUAGAAAUUUAGAGAAUUUAUUCGGAUAAGAAUUGCUUAAAUAUCUGGCAACCCUGGUUCUGCACAAUCGCGUCCCUCCUCCACGUUUUUCGUGUUCAAAGCACAAGCUUAUCUGACUGAACUUUAAGGACAAGACGGGUGCCUGAGUUGCUGGCUGACAGGUCGAAGAAAACCAAAAUGGCAGAUUUCCCUGUAAUUAAAGCGGAAGGAAAAUGCGAAGGCAUCGUGAUCAAAGACGAAUGGCCAGGCUACCAUUUAGACCUCUUUACCUUUCCUGAGCAUUACUCUGGGGAUCUAGAGUGUGUCUACCUGCCUCACGGAAUCAUCAUGGACAGGACGGAGCGUCUGGCCCGGGACAUCAUGGACGACCUCGGGGACCACGACAUCGUGGUGCUGUGCGUGCUGAAGGGCGGCUACCAGUUCUGCGCCGACCUGGUGGAGUACAUCAAGGCCCUGAGCCGCAACUCCAACAAGUCCCUGCUCAUGAGGGUGGACUUCAUCCGGCUCAAGAGCUACCUGAAUGACAAGUCCACAGAGGAUCUACACAUCGUGGGAGCGGAGGACCUCUCUGUUCUGAAUGGGAAGAACGUCUUGAUCGUAGAGGCCAUAGUCGACACCGGCAAGACCAUGAAGGCUCUUCUGAAGCACGUGGAGACCUUCAAGCCCAAGAUGGUCAAGGUCGCCGGGCUGCUGGUGAAGAGGGUGGAGAACGCAGUGGGGAGGUCCCCGGACUGUACGUUGUUUUUCCACAUCAACAGUUUUUUUUUCUUCUCCAGCAGGUUUUGAGUUUCUUCACCUGUAAAAUUGGAAUGGCAGACGUAGGGUUUGAAAUUCCGAACCGAUUCGUCGUCGGCUACGCCCUGGACUACAACGAGUAUUUCCGCGACCUGAACCACAUAUGUGUGAUCAGCGAGAGCGGGAAGAUGAAGUACAAGAUCUGAAACGGGGCCCGGGGACGCCGUCCGGCUGUCCCGCACAGGGAGGAUGGACCCGUUGCCAUGGACGCAUGUGGCGCCGGUCUGUCGCCAGCACCUGUCAAUCAGCAGGCUCCUCCCCCCCCUUGCCUCUCUCUAUCUCUAUCUCUCCCUCACUGUUUCUCUCUAUCUCUAUCUCUCCCUCUCUCCCUCGCUCUCUCUCUCUCCUCUCUCUCUCUCUCUCUCUCUCUCUCUCUCUCUCUCUCUCGCUCUCUCUCUCCCUCUGUUAUUCUGUCAGUGCCAGGUGAGCUAAUCGCACACCACAUCCGCAAGCCCGCACCACAAGCUUGCUUUGGUCCUGAAAACUACAAAAAAAAACUGUGAAACCUGCCAGCGUUUCUGAAUCCGGUUUACUGAAGCUAUUUAGAUCAGUGAGUUUUAAGGGGGGGUGGGGACUCCAACUCUCUUUUUGCCUGCACUGUUUGUUUUGUGUGGAGGGAUUUAUACAAAAAUGUUUUUGAAAACGGUUUACUCACCUGGUGCCUGAUGGACUGAGAAUCCUGGGAAGUCUCUGGCGUCCCGGAGCUGAUCAGCUAACACCGUGUCAUUGACAUGUUUGCAUUGUGAAAUAUGUACUCAUAACCUACUGAUGCUUUUAUCUGUGUGGCUUGAUAAAAUAAUGCCUGUUAAAUGGAAAAUAUCACACAGUUGUGCUGCAUUGGAGUGAUGUUUAAUUCAUAGAAAAUUGAUGACAAAUAUGUAAAUGACUACAUAUCUGGAUCUAAUGUUAAUGUUUAUCUAAAGAAUAACAGAAUCAUCACAGGUUUUUACAUUUAUUCAGUAUUGCUCUAGAAAUUUCAUUGUGGGUAUUUUUUUUCCCCCAGGUAUGGAUUUGCACUAUUUCUAUAGAAUAUUAUUUUGAGGAUAGAUUUAGUGUAAUUACAUCAACUUUUUAAUUGUGUUGUAUUUUAACAGCCUAUGAAAAUGUUUUCAUUUAAAAUGUGCUUUAUUGUGACUGAUAAUCCGAUACUAAGAAUGCAUUACAUUACAUUACAUUCUAUGCAUUUGAUGUGCAGCUAGUAAGCAAGGCUUUGAGGAGGUACGUCAUAUAUUUUAUGAUAUAUUUUUACUGUUCACGGUGGUCUUUUCCGAUUGGUUGUGCACAAAGAAUGCUUGACGUCCCACUGAAGCCAACCAACGGGGAGUGUGAUGAUUUGUAUUAUGAUGUCAUAAUCAACAAAUAUCCCCCUCAACUGUGUUCACAUAGCUCAGCUGAGGAAGUGACUGGCAUUCCACUGUUAAUGAUGCAACAGUAGUUGGAAUACGGGAAGAACAGUAACAAUGUGUUACUUGGAGAAACUUCCUCUAGGUUUUGAUCUUGAGCUCAAGCCUUGCAUUAAAAUUUUUUAAGCCUCCCAUUUUUAAUUUACUGCCAAAUUCUGUGUUUUAUUUCUCCCCGGGAGGUACAGAAAAAAGGGCAGUAAUCGCGACACAUUAGAGCCAUCAGAAAAGCUCCAGUUUUUACAGUUUUAUCAUUUUACUCAUACGCUCAGCUGGUCACACAGCAAAAUAAAUCUCCUACAUCUCUAAGCAAGCAAGCGGCCAAAAAAACGAGUGUUAAAACACUGCGGCGGGGGGGGGGGGGGAUUCAGCUUGAUCUCGGCCUGUACCGAAACCCUGCUCUGCACCUGCUCCACCACACCACCACCUCCACCCCCCCCCCCUGCUCCACUUUCCCCCCUCCUCCACCACUUUCUCUACUCCUCCAUUUUCCUUCUCCUCCCCUCCCUUGCUCCACCCUUCCCCUCCACCACUCCUCUGGUCCACCCCACCCCCCACUCCUCUGCUUUCCCCCGCCCCGCUCCACCCCUCCCCAGCUCACGUCCCCACUCCACCCCUCCCCUGCUCCACCCCCCCUUCUCCACCCAUCCCCCUACUCCCCCCACUCCCCUCCUCCUCCACUCCACCCCUCCACACUGAUCUCUUCAGUUCUUUGUUAGAAUCUGAUUGACGUCGGAGGCCCUGGAGUUAUAACUUUAUUAAUCAUCGUUCCUGCGUUGCUUGCAGGUGCUCAAAGUGCCUUAGAGACAUUUUUAAAGAGUCCUCUAGUCAUAAAUCUUCCUCCUGCCACGCUUCCACCUGUCUGUUUGAUCAGCCUCUGCUUAUUUAGUACUUUUACCUGUUCAGGUAUGAGAGCUGCUGUUUGCACAGCUUGUCCAAGUUCCCUGUGUGGCUCUGCAUUUGGCAGCAGUGCAGGACAGAACCACUACAUUCCACCUGACACUGUUUACAAUCCUGUAAAAAAAAACUAAUUCUCUUGAAUGCGUGCGUAUAUCUGAGCCCAAUGCUGUGAAAAUGUGUUUGUGUGCAAAUGUGUUCUUUGGAGACCAAUAAAGGUGUACAAUAUUCCACAAUA